AAGGCAGUUCAUUAGGAAACCUCGUGUUUACUCAAGUAUGCGCGAAGUCCACUUGGCCAGCAGGCUACAUGCGAUUCCUUGAAAUUCUGUUCCAUGGACUCCAGGGAGCUAAAUGUAACAUUUAGUCAUCAAUAGGAUAAUUUAGGCUCAUUCUUUCUACUUGCCUUCUUAAGAAGGGAUUGGAGUUCAUGCCGGUAUUCUCUAGAAAAUGGAAGUGCCUUCCCGCCCUGUAAAGAUGGCUUUCCAUACACCGCGGACUCUCACACAAGCCUCUUUAUCGUCACACACAUGAAAGCAACAUGAAAAUGCUGAGGUUGGGACCCACGGCGGGAAGCCUUACAAUCAAGAAUGAGAGAAAACUACACACUUAACCACCAAUGAAACGCCAAGCAGAAACGAAGAUGUCCUCACCAGACGAUGGUCUUCGAGACCAGAAGCUCAGCUCCACAGCCCAGAACUUACACACAACUCCUAAGGAAAUUAGGAAAACCUCAAAUUAACUAGAAUUCCUAUUCUGCUGUGCCAGUAGCAUGGAAACUCAAGAAAGAAAUUAAAUUUAAAAAAUCACA